GAUAAAGAGAGAGAGAGGUAGGAGAAGGACAGAGAGGGAGAGAUGUUGAUAGAGAGAGAGAGAGAGAGAGGUAGGAGAAGGACAGAGAGGGAGAGAUGUUCAUAGAGAGAGAGAGAGAGAGAGGUAGGAGAAGGACAGAGAGGGAGAGAUGUUGAUAAAGAGAGAGAGAGGUAGGAGAAGGACAGAGAGGGAGAGAUGUUGAUAGAGAGAGAGAGAGAGAGAGGUAGGAGAAGGACAGAGAGGGAGAGAUGUUGAUAAAGAGAGAGAGAGAGAGAGAGAGAGAGAGAGAGGUAGGAGAAGGACAGAGAGGGAGAGAUGUUGAUAAAGAGAGAGAGAGAGAAAGAGAGAGGUAGGAGAAGGACAGAGAGGGAGAGAUGUUGAUAAAGAGAGAGAGAGAGAGAGGUAGGAGAAGGACAGAGAGGGAGAGAUGUUGAUAAAGAGAGAGAGAGAGAGGUAGGAGAAGGACAGAGAGGGAGAGAUGUUGAUAAAGAGAGAGAGAGAGAGGUAGGAGAAGGACAGAGAGGGAGAGAUGUUGAUAGAGAGAGAGAGAGGUAGGAGAAGGACAGAGAGGGAGAGAUGUUGAUAGAGAGAGAGAGAGGUAGGAGAAGGACAGAGAGGGAGAGAUGUUGAUAGGGAGAGAGAGAGAGAGAGGUAGGAGAAGGACAGAGAGGGAGAAAUGCCGAUAAAGAGAGAGAGAGGUAGGAGAAGGACAGGGAGUGGGAUGGUAGGAUUCUUCUGAGAUGAAUCAAGUGUUAGCAAUGUGAAAGAGAGGAAGGAGAGAUAGGGA